GAGUUUGAUCAUGGCUCAGGAUGAACGCUGGCGGCGUGCCUAAUACAUGCAAGUCGAGCGAACGGACGAGAAGCUUGCUUCUCUGAUGUUAGCGGCGGACGGGUGAGUAACACGUGGAUAACCUACCUAUAAGACUGGGAUAACUUCGGGAAACCGGAGCUAAUACCGGAUAAUAUUUUGAACCGCAUGGUUCAAAAGUGAAAGACGGUCUUGCUGUCACUUAUAGAUGGAUCCGCGCUGCAUUAGCUAGUUGGUAAGGUAACGGCUUACCAAGGCAACGAUGCAUAGCCGACCUGAGAGGGUGAUCGGCCACACUGGAACUGAGACACGGUCCAGACUCCUACGGGAGGCAGCAGUAGGGAAUCUUCCGCAAUGGGACGAAAGCCUGACGGAGGCAACGCCGCGUGACGUGAUGAAGGUCUUCGGAUCGU
rnacentral:rRNA from 1 species